rnacentral:rRNA from 1 species
AUUGAACGCUGGCGGCAGGCCUAACACAUGCAAGUCGAGCGAGCGGCGGACGGGUGAGUAAUGUAUGGGAAACUGCCUGAUGGAGGGGGAUAACUACUGGAAACGGUAGCUAAUACCGCAUACUAUCGGAUGUGCCCAUAUGGGAUUAGCUAGUAGGUGGGGUAAUGGCUCACCUAGGCGACGAUCCCUAGCUGGUCUGAGAGGAUGACCAGCCACACGGGAACUGAGACACGGCCCAGACUCCUACGGGAGGCAGCAGUGGGGAAUAUUGCACAAUGGGCGCAAGCCUGAUGCAGCCAUGCCGCGGGUAUGAAGAAGGCCUUCGGGUUGUAAAGUACUUUCAGCGGGGAGGCGUUACCCGCAGAAGAAGCACCGGCUAACUCCGUGCCAGCAGCCGCGGUAAUAC